rnacentral:lncRNA from 10 species
ACUCCAAAUCAGUGGUCUUCCUGCCCCAGCCAGGUGCCACUCAAGCGAGAUGCAGAGGUGGUAGCAGGGGCCCUGCCAUGGCUGGCUGCGGCACGUGGUACACACAAGGAGGUGGCAGAGGAGGCUUCAUCACAUUGGCCAUUCCUUUGUUUAUUAAACUCCCUUUAGAUGGGGAGCCCUCCGUGGGGCUAAAAGUAGAAUUAAUCUCACUUUCUGACCAUCUCUGUAUCUGUUGCUGCAGAUGAGAAACACCACGUAAUGAUUUCGGGAGACUAGAUAUACUCGCCACGGCAAGGCCACAAUUAUGGGCCUGGUGGACACUUCAGGUGGCAAUUUAGUCUGUCUGCAUUAGGCCAGGCUUCUCUUCUAGCUCUGUGACGGGGCUGGCUCUC